rnacentral:lncRNA from 1 species
GAAAUANUUUUAUCUGUGAUUUUGUUUGAAUCUAGAAAGAAUACAGAAAUAGACUAAGAUGCCACUUCAAAUUUGAAUGAAGAAAUAAUCAAAAAUAUUGUUUUCGGAUAUCUCAAUUGGUCAAAUUUGAAACAAGUGUCUCCAAAUGAAUGAAAGAAGUACUUUAAGGAAUGAAUAUUAUUAAGAUUUUAAGGCAAAAGAUUUCCUUUUCUAUCAAAAUAUCCAGUAUUUAGAAAAAAAUUCCACCGAUUACCCAUAGCCAGGAAUAGAAUAAUUGAGAGAAAGAUAUUGUGAUGAUCAAAAAAAUGAGUAGCAAAACAAGACAGAAAUUGUCCAGUUAUCAUUAUGAAGAAAACCAAUUGUUGGUUAUUAAGGAAUACAAGAGAAAGGACAAAAAAAGGUCGAUUGACAAAAAAGAAAUAAUUUACAAGAUAUGAUUUAUCUACAUCUAAAGUAUCAAUUCCAACAAAUAUUGAAUAAAAAAAGAAAUUUCUUUCUUUCGAAAUCGUUUGAUAUAUGAGAUGAAUUGAAUCUAUUAGGUCAAUUUGUUAUACUUGUUGUUGAAUUGAGUUACGUGGCUUUCUAGAUGCCACAAAAAGAGUUUUCUUUUAUGGUUGUUCCAUAUAUAUCGGCUUUGGCUCAACUUAACGUUCUGACAAAACUUCAGUUAAGUUUUGUUAUAGAAAAAAAGAGGAUUCUUGCAUUUUGCCCUCCUGUUGAGAAAGCAUUCAUUCUUCAGCCCAUAUUUAUAUUUCUCAAAAGACUUUAAUUGGUACGUGCAAGAAAUAGGCCAAUUCUAUAGCUUUUUGUUCAAUUUCUCGUGGAGUUAAAUUCUCAUCAGUAUGGGUCAAGGGAAUGGCCCCCUAGCCUGUGAUAUCCAUAUAAAGGACACAAAGAGCAUAAAUACCCUCUUUAACUUGUAUUCUGAUGGACUGAAUAUCUUUUAUAAGGAAUCGGAGGAAUAUGCGACGAUUUUUUCCAGGAAAUCCCCAACGAGAAAUACACACUAUCCCUUUUUUUCUAUCAAAUCGAUCAUAACCAAUACCUACAUUCUAGGAAAUUGUGCACCACAAAUAGGAACAAAUAAAGAGACCCGUGAUCCCGUAGAAAGACAUCACUAUCCCUUGUGGAAAAAAAUGAUUUGCUAAGACGAAAAAAAGAUAUCAAAUUUCUACCAAGAUAAUUGGAAGUUCCAACCAAUAAGAAUCCUAAUGAACCUAAAAAAAAAAGGAUAAGCAUAAAUUACUUAGUUUUCGAGACCCCGUUAUAAGUUCUAUUCAUAUAUCUUCUGAUCUCCAACUCAUACUUGAUCUGAUUGCGUUUUAUUGGAAUUGAGAGAAUACCACAAAUGAAUUUGACUUUACUUUAACUCAUUAGAUUCCGUAGUAGGUUUAAGGAUCAAGUUGAUAAAAAAGAGAGAUCGGGAACUAAAUAAAGCUCCAGAUUCGGACUCUUCCCUCUCAAAAGCAAGACUCAUAUCCAACGCUAGGAUAGAAAGC